CCUACGGGAGGCAGCAGUGAGGAAUAUUGGUCAAUGGACGAGAGUCUGAACCAGCCAAGUCGCGUGAAGGAUGACUGCUCUAUGGGUUGUAAACUUCUUUUAUAUGGGAAUAAAAUGCUCCACGUGUGGGAUUUUGUAUGUACCUUAUGAAUAAGCAUCGGCUAACUCCGUGCCAGCAGCCGCGGUAAUACGGAGGAUCCGAGCGUUAUCCGGAUUUAUUGGGUUUAAAGGGAGCGUAGGCGGAGUGUUAAGUCAGUUGUGAAAGUUUGCGGCUCAACCGUAAAAUUGCAGUUGAAACUGGCGGUCUUGAGUACAGUAGAGGUAGGCGGAAUUCGUGGUGUAGCGGUGAAAUGCUUAGAUAUCACGAAGAACUCCGAUUGCGAAGGCAGCUCACUGGACUGCAACUGACGCUGAGGCUCGAAAGUGUGGGUAUCAAACAGGAUUAGAUACCCGAGUAGUC
rnacentral:rRNA from 1 species